rnacentral:rRNA from 1 species
GACGAACCGUGCGAACGUUGUUCGGAAUCACUGGGCUUAAAGGGUGCGUAGGCGGGCGCGUCAGUCAGGGGUGAAAUCCCACGGCCCAACCGUGGAAGUGCCUCUGAUACUGCGCGCCUGGAGGGGGAUAGGGGCGUGCGGAACUUCCGGUGGAGCGGUGAAAUGCGUAGAUAUCGGAAGGAACACCGGUGGCGAAAGCGGCGCGCUGGAUCCCUACUGACGCUGAGGCACGAAAGCCAGGGGAGCAAACGGG